rnacentral:rRNA from 1 species
UACGAAGGGGGCUAGCGUUGCUCGGAAUCACUGGGCGUAAAGGGCGCGCAGGCGGCGUUUUAAGUCGGGGGUGAAAGCCUGUGGCUCAACCACAGAAUGGCCUUCGAUACUGGGACGCUUGAGUAUGGUAGAGGUUGGUGGAACUGCGAGUGUAGAGGUGAAAUUCGUAGAUAUUCGCAAGAACACCGGUGGCGAAGGCGGCCAACUGGACCAUUACUGACGUUGAGGCGCGAAAGCGUGGGGAGCAAACAGG